rnacentral:ncRNA from 1 species
AUGAGAAUAAGGGGAGAGACUAUAGAUUUUAUAGCGCCGAAGGAGCAAACAACUGUGAAUCUCUCAGGCAAAAAGACUCUUAUUUGACG